AUGACCAAAGCUCUGACGGAUAAAUAUCUCGGAUUGCCAGCCAUUGUUGGGGCUGACAGAAGUGAUAACUUCCAGUUCCUGGUUGAUAGAGUGUUAAAGAGACUAGUUGGAUGGAAAGAGAAAACUUUGUCUACAGGUGGUAAAGAGGUGCUUCUGAAAGCGAUUGCACAAGCGAUACCAUCAUAUGCGAUGUCUGUUUUUAAAAUCCCAAAACAAAUUUGCAAAGGGAUCACUGAUGGUAUGUCGCAAUAUUGGUGGGGCGAUGAUGCGGAUCAAAGACGGAUGCAUUGGCUAGGUUGGUGGACAAUGUGCAUCCCGAAGAAAUUUGGAGGAAUGGGAUUCAGGGAUAUCCAUUGCCUUAACCUUGCCUUGUUAGCUAAACAAGCAUGGAGACUAUGA
rnacentral:rRNA from 1 species